AAUGAGAGAACACACACAGUUCAAAUUACUCUGCUUCUUGUGUGCAGAGUAAUUUGAACUGUGUGUGUUCUCUCAUU